rnacentral:tRNA from 1 species
GCCUAGUUAGCUAGGUUGGUAGUGCGUCUGCCUUGUAAGCGGAAGGUCGCGGGUUCGAUUCCCGCCCGGGGCG